AAACUAACAAGGAUUCCCCUAGUAGCGGCGAGCGAAGCGGGAAGAGCUCAAAUUUAUAAUCUGGCACCUUCGGUGUCCGAGUUGUAAUCUCUAGAAGUGUUUUCCGCGUUGGACCGCACACAAGUCUGUUGGAAUACAGCGGCAUAGUGGUGAGACCCCCGUAUAUGGUGCGGACGCCCAACGCUUUGUGAUACACUUUCGAAGAGUCGAGUUGUUUGGGAAUGCAGCUCAAAUUGGGUGGUAAAUUCCAUCUAAAGCUAAAUAUUGGCGAGAGACCGAUAGCGAACAAGUACCGUGAGGGAAAGAUGAAAAGCACUUUGGAAAGAGAGUUAACAGUACGUGAAAUUGUUGGAAGGGAAACGCUUGAAGUCAGACUUGCUUGCCGAGCAAUCGGUUUGCAGGCCAGCAUCAGUUUUCCGGGGUGGAUAAUGGUAGAGAGAAGGUAGCAGUUUCGGCUGUGUUAUAGCUCUUUGCUGGAUACACCUUGGGGGACUGAGGAACGCAGUGUGCCUUACGGCGGAUCUCUCGAGAUCUUCACACUUAGGAUGCUGGUGGAAUGGCUUUAAACGAC
rnacentral:rRNA from 1 species